UCUGGUGACCAUGGGUGAGGGGAAAUACACGUUUCCAUUCCGAACACGUUCGUCAAGCCCUCAAACGCCGAUGGUAGUGCCGCCCCGCUGCGGUGUGAGAGUAGGUUGUUGCCAGGA
rnacentral:rRNA from 1 species